UCGAGCUCACAUAGCCAUGUAUAGUCCCGCAUGGCUUGCCCAUGCUUGGAGAGAGCGUGGGCGUUCCUGAAGAGCAGCUGGAGUUUGGAUCUGUGUGCAGCAUGUAGAGACUUGACUGCUCUUGUUGCCGGGGCAGCUGACGGCACUGUGAGGUUAGCGUUUAUCGAGACAGCUUGCUCAUGGCAUUUGGAAAUCUCAUGAUGGUGGAUUGAUUCGCUUCUGUAUGACUUACAGCCAACAGUGAAGACCUGGCUUUUAAGACUCAUACUGGCCAGUGUUUUUUCAUGUUUCUUACACAAGGUACAUAUCAUGCCAUCUUUGGUGUCUUGGAGCCAAGACCUGCCCACUGUCCACUUUGUUUUGAACUGUCUGUCUCUUAUCGCCUCGUAUGCCUUGUCAUAUUCCCUCUUCUUACCAGUCUGACUCUUAGAAGAGGGUGUCUCCUUGGAUGCCUUUGAUGUGGAUCCCUUAGAUGUUGAAGGUUGCACAUCAUCACUGACACCAGCAUCAGCAGCUUGACCAGCAUCCUCAGACUCAGAGCUGUCCUUGGCAGCUUUGGGGUUUUUCACCCCCUGUAUGUAUCUCCACAUAGUUAGCACAAAGUCUCUUAGUUAGCAGAAAAAUAUCACAAAAAUGUCAUACCAAAAAAGUCCUAAGACCACAUCAUCCCUGAGAUUAUUCCUUGAUAACAAAACCCAAGCGUCUGCCCUAAUAACCUGUGUGAUCCAAACUGAGACCUGUGUGGAGAUGUGGAAAUCGAACCUCCAAACAUCGAAUAAUAAGAAAAAUCGGAAAUGAAACUCUUCAUUAUCCAUUACAGCCCCCUCUGUACUGUCAUUCAAUGAUCGAAGCGAGACCCCUAAGGAAAGUUGGGAACCGAAGCAAUAAAUAUAAAUAAAUGGUUAGAGUCGGAAUCGACAUCGCUCAACAUCCACACGAACCCCAACCGGAAACUGAAACCUGCGCGAAAGCGAUGCGCAAUGACACAAGAUGGCGGCCUCCUGCAGGUUGAGAACCGAGAAGUUAUUCGUUGUUUUAAAUUGUUUCAUGAAUGCAUGCUGACAGUCUCCGGUAGAAGUGAAACAGCUUAAAGUACUUCCAUGUUUCUGGGUCACUGGUGAGGAAGGUCGAUGUCUCUGAUGGAAGGAAGAUGAAGUCUGGACAGAUGGACGUUUCCUCAGUUUGAUGUUUACGCUACGCUGAUGAUCGACGAGAGCAAAGGCCACCGAAACCAGAUGUGAGCUCAGCUGUGCAGCCGUCUGCUGCUCACCGAGGCCUGAUGGGAAGCUGACUGCAGACGCAACAUCCAGACUUUCCUCAGCUCAAAUAAGAAGCACACUCACCAUGGAGUUAAUUCAGUGUGUCUCAGGAUAUAAAAAGGAGGAAUUAAUUUACAAGAAUUUUCUCUCCUCAUCUAAACUGCAUGAUACUCUGCAGGCACAUCACUCCAUCCACCAAUAGAAGCAAAUCUGAACCUGUGAGAAGCACUGAGAUAUGACAAAACAGCCAGAAUUAGGCAGCAAAGUUACUGCAAUGAUUGAGACCAAAGCAUUGCUGAAAACAGAGCUUUCACUUUUGAACAUCUACAUUCUGAAAUGAAAUAAUAAAAAAGCUCAAUGUCUGCAAGAAACUCAUCUUGGUGUGUGUGGUGAACAGAGUGUAAAUGGCAACUAAUCUCCCUGCAGUGUUUUAGCACCAAAAGAGUCAGAAAUAAUAGUAAAAUUGAUCAUACUACAGCCAAAGAAGGGACAUUUUUUACAAACUGUAAAUCUCUGCUCCUGUUUACAAGCAUUUACUGUGUUAGCAAGUCACUGAUGUGCACAGGAGCUGACAAAAAAGGUUCAUUGUUUUGUUUGGGGUGAAAAAUUCUAAGUGCAUCUCAGUAAAGUAAAUCCAGAGCUCUGGAAUCAGAAUGUGGAUAAAUGAGAGGAGAAAAUUUCUGUUUUUUAGGUGCUUUAGUACAAGCAGUGAGUGAUCACUGAUGUGUUCAAUGAGCAAGAAAAUGUCUG